GACGAACGCUGGCGGCGUGCCUAAUACAUGCAAGUAGGACGCAGUUGCGAACGGGUGAGUAUCGCGCAGGUAACUACAUAUAUGAGGGGGAUCACUAUUGGAAACGAUAGCUAAUACCGCAUACUAGUUGAUGGACCUGCGGUGUAUUAGCUAGUAGGUAGGGGAAUGGCCUACCUAGGCAAAGCUACAUACCCGACCUGAGAGUGUGUGUGGCCACAAUGGGACUGAGACACGGCCCAGACCCCCACGGGAGGCAGCAGGAGGGAAUCGUCGGCAAUUGGGUGAACCCUGACCGGGCAAAGUCGCGGGAGGGAAGAAGGUUUUCGGAACGGAAAGCUCUGUUGUUAAGGAAGCGGUACUUAACCAGAAAGGGACGGCUAACUCCGUGCCAGCAGCCGCGGUAAUAC
rnacentral:rRNA from 1 species